rnacentral:rRNA from 1 species
GACGAACGCUGGCGGCGUGCUUAACACAUGCAAGUCGAACGGAAAGGUCCUGCUUUUGUUGCGUGCUCGAGUGGCGCACGGGUGAGUAACACGUGAGUAACCUGCCCUUGACUUUGGGAUAACUUCACGAAACUGGGGCUAAUACCGGAUAGGAGCUCCUGCUGCAUGGUGGGGGUUGGAAAGUUUCGGCGGUUCGGGAUCGAAUCGCGGGUUAUCCGCUUGCUGGGGUGGUAGUGGCUUACCAAGGCUUUGAAGGGUAGCCGGCCUGGGAGGGUUAACGGGCACAUUGCGCCUGCGGGACGCCGCAGACGGCUACGGGAGGCAGUAGGGGGGAGCAUUACGGAACAAGCGGACGCCAGAGGCAGCAGCGUCGCGUGCGUGAUGACGUGUUUCGGGUGGUAAACCGCUUUCGCAGUAGACGAAGCGGGAGUGACGGUAAUGAGUAAGAAAGCACCGGCUAACUACGUG